rnacentral:tRNA from 1 species
GCCCUGGUGGCACAGUGGUUAAGUGCUCAGCUGCUAACUGAAAGGUUGGUGGUUCGAAUGCACCCAGCAGCU